CAGUCGCCACGGUAAUACGUAGGUGGCAAGCGUUGUCCGGAAUUAUUGGGCGUAAAGGGCUCGCAGGCGGUUUCUUAAGUCUGAUGUGAAAGCCCCCGGCUCAACCGGGGAGGGUCAUUGGAAACUGGGAAACUUGAGCGCAGAAGAGGAGAGUGGAAUUCCACGUGUAGCGGUGAAAUGCGUAGAGAUGUGGAGGAACACCAGUGGCGAAGGCGACUCUCUGGUCUGUAACUGACGCUGAGGAGCGAAAGCGUGGGGAGCGAACAGGAUUAGAUACCCCAGUAGUCCCUGUCUCUUAUAC
rnacentral:rRNA from 1 species